UACGUAGGGUGCAAGCGUUAAUCGGAAUUACUGGGCGUAAAGCGUGCGCAGGCGGUUUUGUAAGACGGAUGUGAAAUCCCCGGGCUUAACCUGGGAACUGCAUUCGUGACUGCAAAGCUAGAGUAUGGCAGAGGGGGGUAGAAUUCCACGUGUAGCAGUGAAAUGCGUAGAGAUGUGGAGGAAUACCGAUGGCGAAGGCAGCCCCCUGGGCCAAUACUGACGCUCAUGCACGAAAGCGUGGGGAGCAAAC
rnacentral:rRNA from 1 species